GCCAGCAUAGCAUAGUGGUUUGAGUUUUGGACUAAGACUCUGGAGACCAGCUUUCAAAUCCCUGUUCAGCCA